rnacentral:rRNA from 1 species
UACGUAGGGUGCGAGCGUUAAUCGGAAUUACUGGGCGUAAAGCGCGCGCAGGUGGUUUCUUAAGUCUGAUGCGAAAGCCCACGGCUCAACCGUGGAGGGUCAUUGGAAACUGGGGAACUUGAGUGCAGAAGAGGAAAGUGGAAUUCCAAGUGUAGCGGUGAAAUGCGUAGAGAUUUGGAGGAACACCAGUGGCGAAGGCGACUUUCUGGUCUGUAACUGACACUGAGGCGCGAAAGCGUGGGGAGCGAACAGG